UGAAACCUGCAUUCUAGCCAUAUCCUACCUAAUCACCUCUCCCCAAUACUUCUUGGGCCUCCCUCUGCCGCGCCGACCGCCCGCAAUCACCAGCCGUUCGCAGCUCCUCACCGGUGCAUCGGGACUCCUCCUCCGCACAUGCCCAAACCACCUCAGCCGCGCUUCACGCAUCUUCUCGUCCACCGGUGCCGCCCCCACCUUCUCCCGAAUAAUUUCAUUCCUAAUUUUAUCUAGCCUGGUAUGCCCGCACAUCCACCUAAGCAUCCUCAUCUCCGCGACCCUCAUCCUCUG
rnacentral:lncRNA from 1 species